UGAGGAGGGCCAGCAAAGAGGACUGAGAAGCAGCAACUCUGGAGACUGAAAACAGAGACCAUUGUCUUAUGGGCAAGGGAGAAAACAGCACCAGAGUGAAGGGCAAGGUGUGUGAACAGCAGCCAAAGGGCCUCGGCACUAUCAGUGGGCCCAGAAACCCGAGGUGACAAAGGCGUGAUAGGAACAGAGAUGAGAGGUUGAGCCUGCUUAAAGGAGAUAGGAGGAGACCAGGGUAAAAGUGAAACACGGAGAACUUUCUAGAGCAGUUUUGUGGCAUUAGGAGCACACAUGAAAGUUUUGGGUAAAAUGGGGCCAAAAGAAGUUGCUUUUAAAACUAGAAGUCACUUCUGUGUCAUACGCUGAUAGGGACUACAGAGGAGGAAGACGUAGGAGGGAGUGGGAAAUGUGGCUGGAAUACUGUCCUUGACCGGCUGAGAUCGGACGGGUGAUUCACAGGUGGAGAGGUUGGCUUUGCAGAAGCACUUGCCACGUUCUUCCUUGAUGUGGACAAGGAAACAAGAGGACACAAGGGCGGGUGUGUGGUCUGGCCAUGAAGACAGGAAAGGAAGCAGGGUCAUCUAUCAGGAGGAUCGAUGAGGAAGGUGUUAGGGGUCUGAAGGGAGAAGUGAAGGUUCUCUUGGCGAGAGGGAGGGUGAUGUGUCAGGCCAUAGUGUGUGAUAACCCGUGGGCGUGGACCGAAGAUGAGAACAUUCAACAUUGGUGUGGCAUCCUCCUGCCCCCAAACAAGCAUGGAUAAAGGAAAAAGCGGACUUGACCGUGGGUGCGGUUUUACAAGGAGAUGAGGGGGGACAGAGGUGUCAAAGGGACCCAGAAGGGAGCAGUCACAUGGCUGACCACUGAAGACCCAGGAUGUGCCGGUUCAGCCUUGCCUACCCGCUGGCCGCCAAGCUCCAGAACCAGGGCAACAAAUAAAUACCACAACGACAGGGAACACUGCAAAGGACCUCAGGGGGACAGACUUCAGGCUGUUAAUGGAAGAACAGAACUGCAGAAAUGAAGAAACCUGCAUGUGUAGGGUCCUUCCCCUGGAGAGCCCUUCUGAGUGUGGACGUGCCCUUGUCCGUGAUGUUGUGAAGAAGCAUGAGGCAGAGGAGCAAGGGAGAUUUAAAGCUGUUAUCCAGAGCUUCCCAUCGACACGCCGUUACUCAUGCCUGCAGCCCUCUGUGCUGUAAAAGACAGUGACUUUAGGUAAAAUAGGAGAAUGUUACAAGGAUAGAGCCCAAGAGCUCGAAACCCAGGACGCAGGCCCAGCCUACCACGGGAUCAGGCUAGGAAAGCCCACACCAUAAACACCAGGCCUGCAGGAGACACCUGGACCACAGGACCCCUACAAAACCACUCAGCAGAGGAACCUGAAGGACUUCUGACUCAUCAGUCUCUCCACGCUGGCUCCCUGGCCCAAGCGAGCACAUGAUCCCCUUAAAGGCCUCAGCAUCCCAGCAUGAAUGUUGGGGCUCCACCCACAUCUCCACGCCCUGGCCCUUCACAGACCAACUUCAUGUUUUUCCCUCUAACCACCAAAGAAGCAUCCUACUGUCCAGUCGCGCUCAACCUGAGUGCAGAAGGCCCAGGCGGGUGUUAGCUGCCCG